UUUUAACCUUGCACUCAGCCUAGAUCCUUGCCGCACGUGAUGCCUUCUUUCUAUGACAUGAUUGAUGUAUAGAGGGUUUCCCUCUUAUCUCUUACCUUCAUCUGGUAUUACAGGCAGCACUUGUCAGUGUCAGAAGUUACGUCUGCCUCUUUAGUUGUGUCAGGAGCCCAAGCUGUGUCUUUUGGACAGGGUUCCUCCGUAAUUCCUUCCCAGGUUGUCAGCUAAGCCUGUUGUUUUCAUUGCAGCAUGCCUGGCUCCUGUGCUCUGCAGAGGAUGCUCCACUCCGUCCGCAGCGAUGCUUCCAGGAGGAGGUCAGCAGCUAAGGAGCGGGCCUUUUUUUCCUUCCCAAAUCCUACGGGGAAGAAGUGACUGCAUGCUAUUCAUUGUUUUGAGAUUAUUUAAGAAACCACUGCUAUUGAACUAGCAGGAGAUCCUCUCGUCCGUGACCUAUGCCAGAGCAUCUGAUUGUUGUGCCCCAGGUGCAGGCCAUAAUUUUCAUGGGAAAGUAUUAAGAACGCAUGAAGAGUGACCGUCCUCUCUGCUAGCCCUCUCUGAUUUGUAUGGGCUUGUCCUGGCCUUUCCAUCCGCAGUGUGGAGGUGGUUGUUUGUUUUCUUCUUAAAUGGUGUCCUGCCUUCCUCCUCUUUUUUGACAAAACUGUACAUACAUGGAGACUCGCUGAGUGUUGAGCACGGCACGUGAAUGGAGGGGCCACUUCAAACUACUUUUGCAAGAAGGGAUUCCGCUCGACAGAUAAUGAAACCAUGGGAUAGACCUCAGGGAGCAGGUAAUAUGGGUACUGCGGAACAGAGACCUUGCUUGCCUUCACAGGACAUCUUAUGGAAUGGAGCUGUAGUCUGUAAUGUGGAGCAUCUGCGUCAAAACAAGCAAUAGGAGCCCACGAUGCAGGACCAAAGAGUAGACCGCUGCCUUGCUCACCCCCUGCUUUUCACUGUGCCUGGAGGCUAUAAAGUGAGAGGUUGAGUUGCUCAUCAAGAAGCAGCAUCUGCUGGAAGAAUUGCCGUGUGUUGUUGUCCAACAGACCCUACCUCAUGAGCGUUACGCUGUUCCUGGUGUAGCUAUCUCCAGUGUCCAUUCGUUGUGAAGGAAACUAAGAGCAUGACGGAGUCGUCUAUUGAAAGGUAUGAUGACUUUACUGAAUAGCACUCAAAAAAUAAAUGCUCUCUGAUACCGCUGAAAAGUUCUGUG
rnacentral:lncRNA from 1 species